CCAGACAUGUGGAAAACAUGAGCUGGGGGUGGCUGCAGUGGGGGCAUAGGCUGGCACUGCCACAGUGCCCCCCUCAUACCUGCCCACCCCUGGGAAUCCUAAGGCUGCUAGGGGGCUCACAGUCCUUUGUCCCCUCACCUGGGAGCUUUGUGACUCCACCUUCCUGCCAUCCACUUUCAGUGGCUCCAACUCCUCCUUCAGGGGAGCCCAUCCCUUGUUUUCCCAGCCUGGGUCUGCUGAAGCUUUGUGGGAUGUGCUGGGAUUCUGAGGAGCUGCUCCUCCACGUGCUGCCCACCCCUUGCCCUUCCCGUGGCCCUGCUCCCAGAGGUGUUUGCCCCAUCCCCACACCCCACCCAGCUGCACCAGUCUCAGGGUUGGUGUUCCUGCUCCCAGGAAAGGGGGCAGCCCGAGGGAAAGGUUCAGCACUGGUUCUGUUGGGAGCAGCACCACGGAGAAGCCGGCAGCUCUUGGAAGUGGAGUGUUGGAGGAACAAGAGAGCAUCUGGAUGGGGCCGCUUUGUGGAAUAAAUCUCAGACUGUUGUUGUCUCCCCGGGCUCCCCGGUCCCGCGGAACUGCCUGUUCUCAUUCCAUGAGUCACCGGCGCCUGGCGGCACCUCCGAAGUCCCGUGCGGUGCCCGGGGGCUGCUCCGUGCCGGAUGUACCGUGGACACCUGGAGCAGAGCUACUCCACAUCCAUGGGGAGCUCAGCUUGGCACCGGCGUCUGUCAGGAUCCAUGAGCUCCCCGGACACCUCUGCAGCCUGGACAGCCCUGGUCACCCUGUCCUCUGGCCUGGGUCUUCCUCCAAGGGCCUGAGUCUGAUGGCAUCUUCAAGGGGCAGGGGCUGUCCCACGGGACAAGAGCUCUCUGGGAGGAGACCGGCUGGAGCCAGUGGCCAUUCCCAUUCCCUCUGCCUUGGGAGGAGGGAGAUCCAAGGGAUGCUACAGCCUCUGUCCUUCCACCUGUGGGAACAUCAGUCAUCAACACCCAUGCAGUGAUGGGAUCUGGUCCCCUUCCACACGGUGCAGGAAGCUUGGCCUGAUGUUGACUCUCAUUCUGGAGAUGUGGCUCCAUGGGGAGGAGGUGCCCACAACCCUUCCCUGGCCGAUCCCCAUGGAAGCAUCCCAUUGCUGUGGGAGGUGUCUUGAGAGGGAAUGGUCUGUGGAAUGUGCUUGGAGCCAGGUUCACACCACUGCUGAUGCACCUGCUGGGUCACCUGGGGGUGGGACACAGCCAGUGCUGGACUGGCACCUCCUGGAGCAGCAGAUCUUGGUGUGACCAAUGAGCAGGGAUGAACCACAUGACUCCCAAAGUGUGCCCAGUGCCAGUGGGCACCCAAACCUUGUCAAUGGUCCUCCCACAAGGGAUCCCACAGUGGAAGACCACAGAGGCCCUGGAGCAUGGUGUGGGCAGAGGGCUGACCCUAGGCUGGGUGGUGCCUGCUGUGAGUGACCUGUGCUGAUGAGCUGAGACCCUUGGCACAGGUUUGGGGCACCUGAUGGCAAGGAGCAGAGGUGUGUCCAGUUUGUGCACGAGGUGGGAUGGUGACCUCAGCCACAGCAGCGCUGUGCACGAGUCCCAAAAAUAGCUGGAUUUAGAAACACAAAGUCUGCUUGUGCUGUGGCCCAACACGUGUUGCAAAUGUAGUGGCAGCUGAGUCCAGUGAAACUAUGGCCAGAAAAGCAUCAGUUUCGGCAAACAAAUCAGCUCCAGGAAUGAAGGUGGCUGGGAGGGACUGGGGGCCCAAGGCUGCCAAAAAUGUGGUGAAGGAUUCUGAGGUGAAUAAUGAAUAAAAAAGCCCAGCCUCAAAGGUAACA
ensembl:lncRNA